rnacentral:rRNA from 1 species
UUCUCCUACGGGACGCAGCAGUGGGGAAUAUUGGGCAAUGGGCGCAAGCCUGACCCAGCAACGCCGCGUGAAGGAAGAAGGCUUUCGGGUUGUAAACUUCUUUUAAGAGGGAAGAGAAGAAGACGGUACCUCUUGAAUAAGCCACGGCUAACUACGUGCCAGCAGCCGCGGUAAUACGUAGGGGGCAAGCGUUAUCCGGAUUUACUGGGUGUAAAGGGAGCGUAGGUGGCAUGGCAAGCCAGAAGUGAAAACCCGGGGCUUAACCCCGCGGAUUGCUUUUGGAACUGUCAGGCUGGAGUGCAGGG